CCAACCUAAUGCUAAUACUUACGUAUCUCUAUCUUUUCCAAUUUUUUUUCACUUUCAACUAGUGUCAAUAGUUCGUAGUCAUACGAUAGUACUAUCAAGUGACGCGAAAUUUAUCUGUCCAUCUGCAUAGUGGGUGGUUUUCGACCAGUGACUUUAAAUGAUUUUCCACUUUCUUCAUAUUUUUCCUUAGAUUCCGCUUCGCUUAAAAAGAUUCACAUGUAUCGAUAUGAAAAUUAUUGGAAGAUAUUCUAGCAACUUGCAAGAGUAUUCAAGAAUUUUUGAGCACACUUUUUAAAACACGAGAACGUAAACAGAUAUUGCAUGAUCCUAAACGAUCCAGCGUGUAAAUGUCGCCACUGUAAGUAGCUGUUGGGUACAGUAUUGUUCAAAAGUAGACAGACGCUCGAUUACUUUUGGCAAAAUGUACUUUACUCGCAAGAUUAUGCGUAAAUGGACUGCAAAAUUUCAUAACAGUUAAACGUAAAACGGACAAUAGCCUACGUUUUGUAAAAUGGUUUAUCGAAAUUAGGAGAUAAAGAAUUUCAGAUAA